rnacentral:rRNA from 1 species
CAAUAGCGUAUAUUAAAGUUGUUGCAGUUAGAACGCUCGUAGUCGGAUUUCGGGGCGGGUCGACCGGUCUGCCGAUGGGUACGCACUGGCCGACGCGUCCUUUUUGCCGGAGACCGUCCCUACUCUUAACUGAGCGGGGUCGGGAGACGGCACUUUUACUUUGAAAAAAUCAGAGUGUUUCAAGCAGGCAGCUCGCUCUUGCAUGGAUUAGCAUGGGAUAAUGAAAUAGGACUUUGGUGCUAUUUUGUUGGUUUCGAACACCGAAGUAAUGAUGAGAAGGGACAGUCAGGGGCACUCGUAUUCCGCCGAGAGAGGUGAAAUUCUCAGACCAGCGGAAGACGAACCACUGCGAAAGCAUUUGCCAGGGAUGUUUNCACUGG